rnacentral:rRNA from 1 species
GAUGAACGCUAGCGGGAGGCUUAACACAUGCAAGUCGAGGGGUAAGGUCUCUUCGGAGAAUACACGACCGGCGCACGGGUGAGUAACGCGUAUGCAACCUACCUAUAACACAAGGAUAGCUCCCGGAAACGGGAAUUAAUACUUGAUGACAUUCAAAGAUGGCAUCAUCAAUGAAUCAAAGUUCCGGCGGUUAUAGAUGGGCAUGCGUGACAUUAGCUAGUUGGUGAGGUAGAGGCUCACCAAGGCGACGAUGUCUAGGGGGUCUGAGAGGAUGAUCCCCCACACUGGUACUGAGACACGGACCAGACUCCUACGGGAGGCAGCAGUGAGGAAUAUUGCGCAAUGGAGGAAACUCUGACGCGGCCAUCCCGCGUGCAGGAUUGACGGCCCUAUGGGUUGUAAACUGCUUUUCUAUACCAAGAAACACCGAUACGUGUAUCGGUUUGCCGGUAGUAUAGGAAUAAGCAUCGGCUAACUCCGUGCCAGCAGCCGCGGUAAUACGGAGGAUGCAAGCGUUAUCCGGAAUCACUGGGUUUAAAGGGUGCGCAGGCGGAAUAGUAAGUCAGAGGUGAAAGCCCACAGCUCAACUGUGGAAUUGCCUUUGAUACUGUUAUUCUUGAGUGUAGUUGAAGUAGGCGGAAUAUAGCAUGUAGCGGUGAAAUGCAUAGAUAUGCUAUAGAACACCAAUUGCGAAGGCAGCUUGCUAAACUAUAACUGACGCUGAGGCACGAAAGCGUGGGGAGCGAACAGGAUUAGAUACCCUGGUAGUCCAAGCCGUAAACUAUGAACACUUGCUGUUGGCAAUACACAGUCAGCGGCUGAGCGAAAGCGUAAAGUGUUCCACCUGGGAAGUACGAUCGCAAGGUUGAGACUCAAGAGGAAUUGACUGGGGCCUGUACAAGCGGAGGAGCAUGUGGUUCAGUUCGAUGAUACGCGAGGAACCUUACCUGGGCUUAAAUUGUAUAUUGACGUACUGAGAUAUCAGUAUUUCUUCGGACAAUUUACAAGGUGCUGCAUGGUUGUUCGUCAGCCUCGUGCCGUGAGGUGUCGGGUUAAGUCCCAUAACGAGCGCAACCCCUACUUCUAGUUACCAGCAUUUCGGAUGGGGACUCUAGAGGAACUGCCUACGCAAGUAGAGAGGAAGGUGGGGAUGACGUCAAAUCAGCAC